GCCUUGAUGGUGAAAUGGUAGACACAUAAGACUCAAAAUCUUAUGCUUUAAAGCGUGGAGGUUCGAAUCCUCUUCAAGGCA
rnacentral:tRNA from 1 species